rnacentral:ncRNA from 1 species
GAACCCUUGGAGAGAUCCGGCACAAGAUGUGCAUGGGCGCCGAAGGCGAAAGAAUAGCAUUAAGCUAUUUGAAACGCUCAGGCAAAAGGACAGGGGCAA